UUGCUGAAAAUAAGAGGCUG
rnacentral:snRNA from 1 species